GGGCGGAUAACUCAGUUGGUAGAGUGCUCGCUUAGCAUCUGGUAAUGCGUGAAGUCCUUGGUUCAAUUCCUAGUUCGUCCA
rfam:Tilletia walkeri strain DAOM 236422 scaffold_134, whole genome shotgun sequence.